ACGGAAGUCACGAGGAUCUACCUCCUACCACUUCGUCUUCUCUGCUUGAAACCAUAGCGACUUCUUUCGUAUCAGCUCCCUCUUUUCUUCGUCUUCUACAUAAUCAAUACUCAACUUCGAUCAAUCAAUUUCUUCAUUAUGAUUUCGUUUCAGCUCCCUCUUCUCCUGCUUCUUUAUAUACUCAACUUUCUUUGUACAAACCUAAACCCUAGAACCGCUCUAAUCUCAAUCCAUGGCGACGAAACCAAAUGGAAAUUCCCCUGUCUCAUCCGCUUCUGAUGAAGAAGUCAUGUUCUUCAGAGAUAUCUCUAGGUACCCACGAAACUCAGCUGCGCUUCCCUCUGCUACACUUCUGGAAGGCUUGGAACCCCGACGCUUAUUAGCCUGGAGAUGUUCCUCAUCGACGAAAAGGUUAUAUGAAAUCUUCAAUUUUUUUACCUUUAGUUCCAAAUUAUUUAACUUAGUUCCAAUCUUCAAUCUUCUAAAAAAUUUUGGUUUUUAGUUCCCACUUAUUUAAUAAAAACAUUGUUAGUUCCCACUUACGUGAAAUCUUCGUAAUCUAUCUUUUUAGAGAUUUGAUGAAUUAACAAUGUUUAAGAUUACUACCACCAAUGAUCUGUUUGCUCAGUUUUAAAAAAAAGGAUGAAAAUAAACGUGUUUAGAACUUUGACCACCACUGAGAUGUUUGUUUUCUUGCUUUAUCUCUAUCUACUUUAUCGCUUAUCACUUUUUCGUUUGCAUAUAAAACAUUGUUAGUUCCCACUUAUUUAGCUCAUCGUUUGCUUUAUCUCUAUCUACGUUUUGGAGAUUUGUAUUCCUUUAAAGACCUAAAAAUAUGUUAAAAAGUUUUGGAUUCCUGCUGUCAACUUCUGACUUUAGAACUGAAGCAGACCCACUGAGAUGUAGUGUUCUUAGAGUAAGGAACUUCGAGAUUCGAGUUUGAUUCUGUCUCGAAUGAGAUAAUACAUAUUCUAUCUAAUUUGAUGAAAUUUCAAUUUUUUUUUUUUUUGGUCUUGGAGAGUCGUAGGAAGAAAGGGAUGAAUCGACCGUGACUGUUAAUUGAGAUACUACAAGUUACAAUUGUGAGUAAAAAUGUGGUUGCCUACUUUGAGCUAAGGCUCAAUUGAGGGAGUGAAGAGAAGAGGGGAGAUGGCGUUACACAGGUUCAUCUCAAUGUCUACGAUAUAACACAUGUGAACAACUACCUCUGUUGGUCUGGCAUAAUUCCAUUCUGGAAUAUACAGUAUGUUUAUUCUAUUUCUCUUCAUAACUCUUCUCUCUUAUAUAACUUAGUUAUUUGAUGAAAACCAUUUUUAUGAGUCUGUAUAUCAUGGACCAUUUUUAUUUAUUUAGAGUUUUAACACUGUUUAUCAAUUCAUUAUCUUAAAUUAAAUUAUUCAGUGGAGGAAUCCACUUGAAAGCCAAAUUUAUUUAGUUGGUCUGUCGUUGUUAGUUGAAACGAAGAAUCAAAGCCGUCAGUUGGGUAGGUCUUUGUUUCUGAUAUCUAUGAUCAUUUGUAUUCGGUAGCUACGUUGAUGGAAUGAGUGAUUAGAGAAUGCUUUGUUUUCUUUAACCCUUCAAGUCUCUAAAUAGGCCAAAGCUUCCCAUGCAUCAAGAUAAGAGAUUAAAUCAAAGAUCAAAUUUUGUUUGGAUCUGGUGAUGCCCAUUACUGUUUCAUUAGGUGCUGAAUUUUGGUAUGUUUGAGUCAGAGAAGGAAGCCAAGAAAGAAUUUUUCCCGAAGUAUCGAGUCCAGUGGAGUGGAGUUCUUGAUACUCUCACCAAAGGUGUAGUUUCUUUUCCUGUAUUCCACCAUUACUUAACCUUUUGUGACAAUUAUGUUUUUUUAAACACGAUCUGUUCUGAAUAAUAACUUGAUUUAUGCCAACACAGUGGUGGUCUUCAAUGUAGUUAUUGUUGCUUUGUGUGAGCUUUAUGACAAGCCUCCUCUGCUUUUUAAGUUUUGGAAAAGAAUUUUGUUUAUAACCAUAAUAAAUUAUGUCCUGAGAGAAUACUAUAAUGUAGUGAAAUAAUCUUCAAACCCAGUUUUUUUGAACCAAGUGAUCCAUUUAUUUUCUGAACUAAAUCCUAAUAUGAAUUAGGUCAACGGAAAUAAUUUAAUCAUGUUCGCAUAGGUCUUGAAAUAAGAUUACUGUUCUUAACUAAAUUAUGUCCUGAGAGAAUACUAUAAUGUAGUGAAAUAAUCUUCAAACCCAGUUUUUUUGAACCAAGUGAUACAUUCAUUUUCUGAACUAAAUCCUAAUAGAAAGUAGUUGAGAAUUUCGAAUAGGUCUUGAAAUAAGAUUACUGUUCUUAAAGGUUUCUGUAAAAUCUUGCCUUGCUACUAUAUGAUCCUUUGGUUUUAGUUGUUGAAAAUUUCACGUCUCGAGAAUUUUGGUUAAGAUCCUCCUUUGGUUUUCCUUCAGAUUCAUUCAGCAAAUGCUCGGAGGUUCUUCAGUCCCUGAUUAUGAGAAGCUUCAAGUGGAUAAGUUUUAUUUUCAAAUAAAGUAACAAUGAGUUUCUGCGUAAAACAUCAGGAAAUAUUAAGAAACGUUUCGCCUCCUCAAUCCCUUCAUUACUUCCCAACAUAUUCUUAAAUUUGUUACUGGAUUCCAGAAACGUUGAGAGAGGUCUUGCUUCCCUAGACAUAUUUAUUCUGAAUUGCAUUUUGUUUCUCUCUACGGAUUUAAGAAUAAAAAAUAAAAAAAUGACCUAUUCCCAGUCUAAAGGCAUAACAACAUUAUUCAUUUGCUCUCUUUCAUCAAUCUUAAAUAUGCAAUGUUUCAUUUUUGAGUUUUUAUGUGGUUCAGGCUACUGAUCAAUAAGAAUAACAUGUCUCCAGAAUUUUCAUUGGCGUUUUUCUAUUUUUCCUUCCUUCCAGGUUUAGAUUAGUUUUCAGUGAUAUAUUGAUUUGUACACUACUUUUUCUUACAGUGAGUUAGCAAAUGGUUGCUUCAAAGUUGAAAAAGCUUAUUUGUUAAACCAUCAUGCAAAUUAUAUUAGACCAAAAUUAACUAUAAUAAUUAAACAUGAUUAAAAAACUGUGAAAAACGUUUAAACAAUGAUAAAAAUCACUAAAAACAAAUAAUUACUUUAAACUUAAAAUAUAAGACACCACUAUAUAACAAUAUUGUAUUUUCAUAUUUUAAUCCAUGCAGCUGUUAUAAACUACUAUAUUUUUUUUCCGUUCAAGUGUUAUAAACUACUAUUUUUUUCAGUCAGUAGAAAACCAUGAUACGUAUUAGUAAAAGUAGUCACAUAUAAAAUUGGUAUAUAACAUUCGAUUACAAAGUGGACGUAAACCUAGAACAAUACUUGGAAGUUCGUUAUUAGAGAUUUUUUCCUCACGCAUUUACAUAUGGUAAAAUUAUGAACUAAUAUGAUUUAAGCUGUAUACACAAGUGAUAUAUUAAGUUUACAAAAACCCUCAAACUACCUUCAUUUUUAUUUUGUUAAUCGCAUUACAUUUUUAUUUCAUAUAAUGAAAAUAUAUGUUGCAAUAACAUAAGCUUUAUAUAGAAAAUACAAUCUCAUAAAUUUUAAAACUAAAUCGCAAAUUUAUAAAAAUAUUUAGUUGAAAAGGUGAAACGGAAAUGACUAUUUAAAAAAAACAGAAACAACUGUUUGAAAUACAAAAUCAAAUUUAAAGCUUAGAAAAAUGUGAAUGCAAAAAAUUCAAUUAAAAUAUAAGAAAUAGGUACGAAAAAUAAAGAAAGAUUAAAAUCAAAAUAGUAUAUGAAGUUUGACAAAACAAAUAUUAAAGACUCAAAGUAAGAAAAAAAUAAUAGUCUAAAUCACUAAAUAUUGUUAGUUUAAAUUAAAAUGAUAAGGCUAUAUCGAAUUAGAAAUCAUUUAUAUUUUCAAUUUGUGACAUUAGUAGAAGAUAGUAGAUUUUUUUUACUGGAAAUGAAAAAAUAAUAAGAAAAUAAUAUUUUUGGAUCAUAGUUUUGGACUGAAAAUAUAUUCGAAAUUUCCCUUAUUGGUAUAUAAAUAUUCAUUUUAAUAACAACGUAAUAACCUGAUUGUAUUUUUUAAAAUAGUAAUUUUUAAAUCAACUAAUAUAUAAUAAUAAAAUUUAAAUAAAUUAUGAAUAUAUUUUGAGAAUAUUUUGAUUAUCAUUUACACUGAUUUUAAAUCCAGAAUAAUAUUUUAACUAUAGCUAGAUUGUAAGAUAUUUUUGUUUAUAAGUAAACAAAUAAUUUAGUAAUAUUAAUUGCUGACAAAAAAUAUGAUAAUCAUAAUAAUUUCAUAGAAUUUUCAGUGUAUUUUACACAUAGAACAUUUUUAACGUAAUUUUAUUUAAAGCAAUGAGUAUUUAAAUUAUCUUUACUUAUUAUAAUUGUAAGAAAUAUGUUAUAAUCGUAAGAAAAUAUAUUAUAGGAGAUUAAAUAAAAUAUAAAUAAAAACAUCAAUAUGGUAUAAAUAAUACAUAUGACAAAGAAAUAUACGAUAUGGAGAUUAAUAAUAUAUAUUUUUAAUAACCUAAAUAUGUAACAGGAGAUAUUUUGGAUAAUAACUAAGGUUUCACAAAUUAUUUAUUCAUUUCACAUUUUCUCACCAUUCCAAAUAUAUUAAAAAUAGAAAAAAAAUUGUAAGUUUUACUCAUUUCUAAUUCAAUUUAAUAUUUAUAUUUAUAUUACAUAGAAGUAAUAUAUUGUAAUAUAGAUAUCAAAUACAAUAUUAUUUUAAUAAACCCGGGCGUAGCCCGGGAAAAACCUCUAGUAUAUU